rnacentral:tRNA from 1 species
GCCCAUGUAGCAUAGCCUGGCUAUUGCGUCGGUCUCAUAAGCCGAAGGUCACGUGUUCAAAUCACGUCAUGGGCA